rnacentral:misc_RNA from 1 species
UUGAUUUAAAGAUGUGCUGGCACUCCUUCAUAGGUUUGCAUGUGCACUCUACAAAAUCUCCUUCUUACCCCAUUGUGCACACUCCAGUAGGCAAACAGAGGUUCACAGAGCAAUCUAUGCAAUCUUAUUUUACCUAUGUUUUAUCAAACACCAAUAGCAUGUUAGAAUGAUUUUAUAGUAAGCUUUCAAAAGCUGAAUUUUAAUA